AGGGAUGCAGUUCGUCACCUGAUGCUGACAAUCGCUAAUGUUUUCAACUGACCGGUGAAGAGAAGAAUGCAAUGCAGUCAGCACGCACGUGACAGAGCAAACUGCAACAAACUACAACUGUGUGUGUGCGUGUGCGUGUGCGUGUGUGUGUUCGCGUGGUCUCCAUCGACGAGUUAGGUGCAUGCCUACUUCUGUUUCAGUUUCCUUCAGUUAUGUGUGUGAUGUGAGCAUGUCGUGAGUUGUAGUCAUUGAUUAAGCAGACUUGCAAGAAUGGCACUCCGGCCAGUUUGAUCAA